UAUGUUGGUGUUCCCCCUCUUUAUAAGGUUGAGAGGGGAAAACAAGUAUACUAUUGUUAUGAUGAUGCAGAACUUAAAAAUCUUCAGGACUCGUUUCCGCAAAAUGCAUCUUAUAAUAUUCAAAGGUUCAAAGGCUUGGGAGAAAUGAUGCCUUUACAACUGUGGGAAACAACCUUGGAUCCGGAGAGAAGGCUGCUCAGGCAAUUAGUAGUUGAGGAUGCAGCUGAAGCCAAUGUUGUUUUUUCAUCCCUUAUGGGUGCUCGGGUGGAUGUCCGCAAGGAACUUAUCCAGAAUUCUUCCCGCAUGAUCAACGUUGAUCAACUGGACAUUUGAUAGCACCAUUUAGUUUUCAAGCCAAAGUUCUGUUGCAUAGUGUAACACCAAUAUCAGAUUAGUACUUAUAAUAACGUUUCACAUUGCUGCACUGGUAAAGCAGAGGCAAUUGAAUUUUGCGNNNNNNNNNGUCUCAUGAUUAAUCUCUUUGCAGCUAUCUGUGUAUGUUUAUUGCUUAGAGUGUAGAAGGGGGG
rnacentral:misc_RNA from 1 species